UGAAUGCACAUCAAAGACUGACAGGGAAGAGAAGAAACUGUUGAAUAAAAUCUUUUUUUUUUUUUUCCUUUGUACACAAAAACUAUUCUCUUAGUUCUUCAUAAAAUUACAGUUGAACCACUGAUGUCACAGGGACUUAUUUUUACAAUAUACUUACUACCUUUUUGGGCUUUAAGCAUGUCAGUUGCAUUGCUGUCUAUGCAGGGUCAGAAAGCUCUCAGAUUUAAUCAAAAAUAUCUUAAUUUGUGCUCCGAAGAUGAACAUGAUGAGGUCUUAUGGAUUUGGAACGGCAUGAGGGGCCUUCUGAAACUUUGACGAGGUGGUCCCUCUGUAGAAGCACUCCGUCUGUCCACAUGCUAUAAAGGAAUUAAGCUUCCUAUCAAACCUUUGUCAGCUCACUCAUGUGCAGUGAUUAGAAAACCAAGUAACUGAAUGAAAAUACUGGAACCAAAACUCAACAGCCAAAGCAGACACACUGCGAAUGAAAACAGUACAGUCAUCGACAGGAAAGUGUGCUGUAAACGAAUGAAUGAAAGUGACUAAUUAAAAGGGAAACAGAUCAAGUAAACAUGAUGACAGGGUGAAUCCUCUCUCUGUGGCCUUAACUGAAGCCUGCUGGCUGGAGAGGGACAGGCUGUUUGUGUGCUGUCUGACAGGAGGAAAUGACUGUUAUCAUACCAAAUGAAAUCAAGCCCUGACGCUCUCCUUCAGCUAACAGCACGGGGUCAUGCGGCGGUCUCGGACCCCCUCCGCACCCUGCUAGUGAUACUAUGUGGUCUCAGCACACGGACCAGAGAAAGUCCUCCUCUUUAUUCAAGCUACAUUACUAUCGUACGUUUAGCAGGGUAUCAUAGGGAUUCAGAAAAGUUUAUUGACAAUGACUGCUUGUGAAUUAGGGUAAAACGUUGAUGGCUUUGGUUGAGACAAUGCUCUUGGAAAAUUCUCUGCAAAAUAAGAAAGAGAGAAGACAUUGGCACUCACACGUAUUAACCCUGUAAAGCCUACUGUAUCAUAUUUCAUAAACCUGCUGUACACAACCAUCUGCAUGCCUUCAGCCUGAUAGUUUUGUUUAUUUUUUUAUUUUUUUCUCGGUAUUUUAAAUUAAAAAAAGAAGUCUUGAUGAGCAUAACAGAUAUUGUUUAAAACUUUAAACGAUUUUAUCAACAAACUGAAAAAAAAAAAAUGUAAUAAAACGCAAAAAAGCUUAACAAAAAGGACAGAAAUGUAUCAUAUUUGAUAAACCUGCUGUACACAACUAACUGCAUGAAUUCAGCCUCAUAGUUUUGCUGUGAAAUUUUACAUUUUAAUGUUUUUUAAAAUGUAAAACUAGUUUUUAUAUUGUUAGCAAUAUUUUAAGAUGAACAUUUACUGGGCUGAAGCAACUUAGGUGUGCAAAUAUGAUACAACAUGCUUUUGAAGAAUGUUUAUUUGUACAUCUCUCAAUCAUCAUUGUACUUCAUUGCAGUAUGU